rnacentral:ncRNA from 1 species
GACUGAAGCCGAGCAGCCAGGGAACAAAUCGUUAACACAAAAUAAAUCAUCUUUACGUGGCGAUAAAAUAAAAUAUCACCACAUGGAAAUUGUAAAUAACAAAAUUUAUUACAUGGCGAUCCCCUACACACCGACAAAAUUUAUUACAGUUCAUUAAAUGUAGGCCUUGUGCUCAUCCUGGCGACAGAAACGACCAUAAAGAAGCCGUCGAGAGAUAUCGGAAGAGUUUUCUUUUCUGUUUUAUAGUCGUACUACCAUGGAAGUCUUUCGAAGAGAGAUAUGGUAGAUGGGUUAGAAGAGCAUGACAUUUACUGUUGUGUCGAUAUUUUCCCCUCGCAUCUCGAAAAUCUAUGGUGGGGUCCACAGGCCGUACCAAUAUCUGCAGCUGAUCUCUAAGGUGAAGAGUCUCUAGUC